rnacentral:misc_RNA from 1 species
GGAAGUAAAAAUCGUAACAAGGUUUCCGUAGGUGAACCUGCGGAAGGAUCAUUAUCGAAAUACUUAUUUAGCGUUCCGUGCUAUCCCAUUGUUUUAUUUACCCUGUUGCUUCCACUGGAUGAGUUUCCAUACCUUGUGUUUGAGAAACUUUGGCUUGUGUAAGAUUCAUUCACGGCCAGCCAGUGAGAAGACCAUUUACAAAACCCUGUUAAGAACCAAUUGUCUGAAUAUUUUACUCCAAUGAAAUAAAACUUUCAACAACGGAUCUCUAGGCUCUU